GAAGUGCUCACAGCACAGCCCUCACCAUGGACUGGAGCUGGAGAACCCUUCUCCUGGUGGCCAUGGCUACAGGUGUCCACUCCCAGGUGCAGCUGGUGCAGUCUGGGGCUGAGGUGAGGAAACCUGGGGCCUCCGUGAAGGUCUCCUGCAAGGCUUCUGGGUACACCUUCACCAGCUACUGGAUGCAAUGGGUGAGACAGACCCCAGGACAGGGGCUUGAGUGGGUGGGGAGUGUUAACCCUAACAAUGGAAACACAAAUUACGUACAGAAGUUCCAAGGCAGAGUCUCCAUAACCAGAGACACGUCCAUCAACACAGCCUACAUGGAGCUCAGCAGACUGAGAGCAGAGGACACAGCCAUGUAUUAA